GCAGUCGAGGGGUAUAGUUCUUCGGGACUAGAGACCGGCGCACGGGUGCGUAACGCGUAUGCAAUCUACCUUUUACAGAGGGAUAGCCCAGAGAAAUUUGGAUUAAUACCUCAUAGUAUAUAGCCCUGGCAUCAGGAUUAUAUUAAAGUCACAACGGUAAAAGAUGAGCAUGCGUCCCAUUAGCUAGUUGGUAAGGUAACGGCUUACCAAGGCUACGAUGGGUAGGGGUCCUGAGAGGGAGAUCCCCCACACUGGUACUGAGACACGGACCAGACUCCUACGGGAGGCAGCAGUGAGGAAUAUUGGACAAUGGGCGCAAGCCUGAUCCAGCCAUGCCGCGUGCAGGAUGACGGUCCUAUGGAUUGUAAACUGCUUUUAUACGAGAAGAAACACUCCUUCGUGAAGGAGCUUGACGGUAUCGUAAGAAUAAGGAUCGGCUAACUCCGUGCCAGCAGCCGCGGUAAUACGGAGGAUCCAAGCGUUAUCCGGAAUCAUUGGGUUUAAAGGGUCCGUAGGCGGUUUAAUAAGUCAGUGGUGAAAGCCCAUCGCUCAACGGUGGAACGGCCAUUGAUACUGUUAGACUUGAAUUAUUAGGAAGUAACUAGAAUAUGUAGUGUAGCGGUGAAAUGCUUAGAGAUUACAUGGAAUACCAAUUGCGAAGGCAGGUUACUACUAAUUGAUUGACGCUGAUGGACGAAAGCGUGGGUAGCGAACAGGAUUAGAUACCCUGGUAGUCCACGCCGUAAACGAUGGAUACUAGCUGUUGGAAGCAAUUUCAGUGGCUAAGCGAAAGUGAUAAGUAUCCCACCUGGGGAGUACGUUCGCAAGAAUGAAACUCAAAGGAAUUGACGGGGGCCCGCACAAGCGGU
rnacentral:rRNA from 1 species